CCAAGGCAAGGCGCUUCCGAUUCGACCCCAG
rnacentral:rRNA from 1 species